rnacentral:lncRNA from 10 species
CCUCGGCCGCAUCCUUUCUCCGUGCGCGCGCCAGAUCCCAGGGGUGAUCUGCAGAAGCUGGCUGAGGCUUUCCUUCCGCCCUAAAGUGUCUCCCCCGGGCUGAUGACACACAAAAGAAUUUAAGUAGCUGUGCGUGUCGGCACCGCCGCAUCCCGCCUCUCUGCGGAUGCCCCUCUCCCGAAAUGCCUCGGGGUGAGGGUUCCCCACGGGAAAACCCUUCGCGUAAGGAAGGCAACCUGUCCCCGAAAACGAAACCGCCGCGUUCUCCUAUAUUGGCUCUCCCAGAGCUUCCCGGACUGCGCUGACCAGCCCGAACGCGAGCCCCAGAGAGAAAUGCAACUCGGCCCAGGGAAAGUGGGACGCCAGGGCGGGGGCAGCAGUCUGGGUCCUUCCCAGCAGAGGCAAUGCGGAGAGCUUGUGGGGCGGGAAUCGCCAGCCCCACCGGCGUCCCCGCGGCGCCGCACACCUUAGACACGGCCCGCGCCUGCAGCCACCAGCGUGCGCGCUCACGCCGGCCGGGCCACCCGGCCCACCCCGCGGUCAUCUCCAGCAGCAGAAACGCCGGACCGUUCCGGAAUCGGACGUAGCGGGGUGGAGCGGAGAGCAGAGAAAAGGAGGGGGAACGCAACGGGCUGGGGAGGGGGGAGCGUGAGACCGCCCCAGAGCCGAGGCGACCCCAAAUGGGAGAGCAGGAAGAAUGACAGGGAGACUCGGAGCGAGUGGGGGAGGGAGGUGAAAUGCAGCCGGGCUGGCCUCCUCCAGGCUGCUCUUCCAAAUCGCCUCGGCUCAUCGGAGAUUACCACACUAAAAUUAAUGCCCACACACAGACCUGGCUAGAUAGCAAGAAAGAAGUUUCUCUGCCUGCCUAACUACCGGCUCCCGCCCCUUUGCGCCGAGAUAACUCGGAGAUAAGGCUGCGCGCAGAUAAGCGCUUCGAGGAGAGAAAAAGAGACUAGAAGUUGGUCCGCGGUGUCCCGGGAGCCUGGGAGCCGCCUCAGCCCGCCCGGAGGGAAGGAGGGAAACACCGUCGGAGCCGACCGCGGCCUGGAGAGGGCCGGAGAGCCGGAGGCCAGGGGCCCGCGACGAGUAGGGGUGGAGGGGAGGAAAGCGGGGAGAUCGCGCGAGGAGGAAGCAGCCGAACCUCGGGCGGGCGCUGCGCAUGGAGAACGGCCGCGGCGGAGGGUGCUCCCAGGCGCGGAGAGAAGCCGAGGGCGCCAGCGGGCGAGCGCGAGUCCGGGGUCUGCGCCGCGCUGCUGGUGAAUAAAAAGGAGAGAGGAGGCGCCUCUUACUGCUCUGCCGGAAAACUGCAGCCUGGGCUCCUGAUUGGACUCACCGAGCCCUAAACAAACAGCGCUCGCCGAAGGGUGCCAGGCUGUGGGUCGGAACUGCGCUCAGCGAGCAGCUGGGCGCUGGAGGUCGUGGUGGUUUCGGGAACCUCAAGACAACAUUCCCCAGCUGACCUUUGGGAACUUUAACUCGGGUCGUCAUGUACGGAAAGGUAGUCUAUGGGGUACGCAGAAUGGAAAAGGGCUUCCACAUCAGUCGUGUCCGAGGACGCUCUCCAACUUUUGAUGUCCCUGGAGAGUUUCUGAUAUUUCCCUGGAGAGUUUCAGAAAGGAUUUCUUCCGACAGACGUGACCCCAGAAGGCUGCCGAGGGAGACUUUAGGACAAGAGGCGUUGUUUUUUUAGGGAAGGAAGAGGAGCCUGUGCAGAGUUGAACUGGGGUGGAGAGGUGCCUUGUAAAGUAUGGUUUCCAGAGAUGGUGAGACCUCGUAGCUAAGCGUUGUUUCCUCUGCACGUAACUGUGAGUUGUGAACUUGUGGCUCCUGGGGGAGCGGGACAGGGCCUGGCAGUGCGGGGGAGGGGGCAAGGAAUUCAGGAAGUUGGCGAGAAUUCUUCGUUUUUCAUUCUUCGUUGUAAAUUGCUUCUAAACACUUCUGAAUUUUAAAUUGCUACCGAGAAGGUCCAGAAACCGUUCUCAUCCAAUUUAGUCACUUUUAUUACGUUCCACUUUGCCUCCCCCAAUCACUGCGGCGGCUCCCAGUUUCAGCGUGGCCGCAUUUGGAAAAGGCUGAAGGUAGAAAACUCUGGAAUGGAGAGGCUGGCGACUGGAGCAGGAUCCAGGGGCUUUAAAUUUUAACCUGAAUGCGAUCGAAUGCGCGACUCCCAGAAGAGAUAGCCAGGCGUCCGCCCGGCCGCUCAACCCCCGCCAGGACUCGGAAUGCCUUGCUUUUGGUUCUUUUCUACAAGGAUGUCUGCGUGGAUAUCCCUGGACACUCGAUACCCCCCGGGGACCUGCUUUUCCCGCAGCUCCGCAGACGCGGCGGGAGGGCGCGCUGGCCCCGGCGCUGCUGGGACAGAGAAAAUACAAAAAGAUAAAUGACAAGAAAACAAGAUAAUGUAAAAGAUGAAUUUAGAAAAAAACAGCUGAUCGACAUUUUUAAAUGGGACUAUGCUAUGAGAGUUGCUGUUCACACUGAUGUGAGACAUUGUCCAAUUUUAAGCCCAUGGCAACCACCAUUCUACUCUGCUUCUAUGAGUUGCACGUUUUUGGAUUCUACCUACAAGUGAGAUCAUACGGUAUUUGUCUUUCUGUGUCUGGCCUAAGUCACCUCACAUACUGUCCUCAAGGCACACCAAUGUUAUUACAAUAUAAUGCCCUUCUUAUGACCAACUUAAGGGUAUUUCGUAUCUAUGAUGCCCAUUUCCUGCCGACAUUUGCCCCAGUUUAUGGAUCGGAUCACUGAGACAAGCACUUGUUUCAGUAACUUGUGCAAAGUCAUGACACAAGAGGCAGAGCAGACCCUUAAACACCUGGUCGCUAACAAUCUACUGUGCUCUAGACAAAGCUGAAGAAGAUGUGGACCCUGAGCCUCAGUUUCCUCAUCUGCAAGAUGG